rnacentral:tRNA from 1 species
GCCCUCGUAGUUGAACGGAUACAACGCCUCCCUCCGAAGGAGGUAGUACAGGUUCAAUUCCUGUCGAGGGCA